ensembl:misc_RNA Metazoa_SRP Metazoan signal recognition particle RNA
GCCAGGCAUGGUGGUGUGUGCCUAUAACCCCAGCUACUCGGGAGGCUGAGGCAGGAGGAUCACUUGAGCCCAGGAGGUCUGGGCCAUGCGACUGUCCACACUAAGUUUGGAAUCUACGUGGUGAUCUCCUGGGAGCAGGGGACCACCAGGUUGCCUAAGAGGGGUGAACUGGCCCAGGUGGAAAACAGCAGGUCAGAACUCUCGAGCUGGUCAGCAGUGGAUGGUGCCUGUGAGCAGCCACUGUACCCCAGCCUGGGCAGAACAGUGAGACCCCAUCUCUU